rnacentral:rRNA from 1 species
AUGUGGACCCAUCUUCGUCAGCGCUAUCAGCCCUCUGGUGAUGCCUUAUACCUUUCUGUGGUCCGUCAGGAGCAUGCUCUUCAGCAGGGUGACUCUACUGUUGAUGACUUCUAUGCACAGAGUUCUGCUAUCUGGCGCCAGCUUGAUUCUCUCCGCAGUGCUGGUUGUCGUACCUGCCCCUGUUGCCAGGCUGUCCAGGCCAAUUUGGAGUUUCAUCGCGUCUAUGAGUUCCUGUCUCGGCUCCGUAAGGAGUUUGAGCCCUGGCGUGCUCAGUUGUUUGCUCGUGGCCGUAUUUCUCUCAUGGAGGCGCUUUCUGAGAUUCGUGCUGAGGAGACUCGCUUACGUGGUGCUGGUUUGCUGGAGGUUCCCUCCGUGCUCGCUACUCGUGCUCCUACGCCACCUGCUGCACCGACCCCUUCUCGCUCGAGUGCUCCGCCGCUCUUGCCCACUCCUUCUGGAGGCUCAGGUCGCCCCCGUCCACAUUGCGACUACUGCAACAAUGAUGGUCAUCUUGAGUCUCAGUGCUACACGAAGAAGAAACACCUGCGCAAGGCGCGAUCAUCAUCUUCAGGGACUUCGUCA